UCUAUUUUACAUCGGCAGAAUCAUAGAAAAAAUAGCAAACAAAAAAUUAAAAUUUUUGUUUUUAAAAUAGCAGAGAAAUUAUACAAAGUGCUCUCGUUCGGAAUAAAAUCGACUAACAAAAAUAGCUACUUCAGUUGAGUGUCAAAUGGGACGUGGAUAACAUCUCGCUUACACACAAAAUAAAAAGACGAAAUUUUAUUUUGCUUCAUCGAAAGUGUGUAGUUCAAAUGCAAUUUAUCAAUCCCAGCCAGUGAUUUCAAAUUAUAUUUAAUGUUCGAUUUAAAUCAAAUCGAUGUGGUAAUCAGACAAGCCGCAUAAACCUUUCAAUAUAAUUGUUUAUCAUCGUGUCCACAGUUUAUCACAAUCAAAAUACUAAUUAGGAUACAGGUCAUUAGCACCAAAAGGAUAUUCCUGAUAAAAUCGACUACACAACAAUAAAAUGAGCGAAAAAAGACGAGAUUCCGUGGAUUCACUUCCCCUACCACUAAUUACAAAAUCACAAAAGGAUGUCGACAACAUCCACAACCCGCGUUUACGCCAACGAAAUAUUCAAAUCAAAACUAUGGAAAGUAUGGACCGAGCAGAAACAGAAGAUGACGACGAAUCGUUGUCUAAGCGACGGGUUAAUUUUGAAGAAAAUACAGACGAAGACAUAGACUCAUCAGCAUUUGAAACGUACCUAGUCAUUAAGUUUGCUAACAAUGUGAACAGUAAAUCACUUCGUUGGAUUGUGGAUAAGAUUCGCGGUAAGAAGAAUUAUGGCGGAGCUGAGCUGCUGAUACGAAAAGAACCGAACAGCGAUACAAGCCAAGGACUGGUUCUUCACCUAUCGGCAACAAGUACCAAAUUUUUUCAAAUGGCCGAUGAGUUGGAAAUUAUGAAGAAGAGUAGAAGCGGAGUCAUGAAAAAUUUCAAUGUCAGCAGCUUGGACGACUUCUUUGUGGACGGUAGUAUGGACGUAGAAAAUAUUUUGACUUCUGCUGAUAAGCAAAUUAUUGUGAAACAUGCACUCGACAGCAUUAAAGCUAGUGAACACGAAAAAUCUCUACCUGGAUCUGAACAUGUCAAUUUUUACCAUGGACAGUCUAUCAUUUCUGCAUGCUUGGAAGAUGGCAUUGUGGAAAGUGUGUAUCCAUUACAAAAUAAGGAAUUUCUGAAAAAAUUCGGUCCCGAAUGGUACCUGAGUUCGCUGAAGAAGCAGCCAGUGGAAAAGAUUCGAGAGUAUUUUGGCGAAAGUGUGGGAAUUUAUUUCUGUUUUGUGGAAUAUUACACUGUGGCUCUGGUCGUACCCGCCAUUCUAGGAAUAGUUCAGUAUUUUACCUGCAGGAGCAUCGUUCCAUUUUUCUGUAUAUUUUAUGUGAUCUGGAUGACUAUUUUCCUUGAAGUAUGGAAACGUAAAUGCUCUGCUCUGGCCUAUCGCUGGGGUACCAUAACCAUGACGAAUUUAGAUCAGCCCCGUGUCGGCUUCUACGGCACAAUUGGUAAAGAUCCAAUCACUGGCAAAAUGCAACCUCAGUAUCCCAUAUGGAAGACGUAUGUCAUCAUGUACUGCGUAUCCAUUCCAUUGUGCCUCAUCUGUAUGAUACCUGCGGCUCUACUGGCAGUGUCGCAAUUCUGGCUCGAAGGCAAAGUCACCGAUUUGGUUGGUCCUGACUCAUGGUUAACGUAUCUGCCAUCAAUUUUCGAGGCCAUUUGUGUGGCAAUUUUUUCUGGAAAAUUUGAGGCUCUGGCUAAUUGGUUAACGGAUCGUGAGAAUCACAGGACUCAGGCGCAAUACGAAAGGCAUCGAGUGGUGAAACUAAUUGCACUCGAAUUUGUAAAUAACUUUUUGUCAUUGUUUUACAUUGCGUUCUGGUUGCGAGACGUUAACAUGGUGAGGUCUCAAUUGAUGACGCAGCUUAUCGUAUUUCAAAUAGUGCAGAAAAUGCAGGGUAGCUUAUAUCCCAUUGCCAUGUCAAGACUGUUAGUUUUGAAGGACUCGGUACUCAGCAGCUGGUAUCAGCCACAAGAGCAUCAACUAGUGGAUCUAAAUAUCAGCGAGCUACCCAGAAACGAUCCUCGUAUUAAACAAAAUAAAUACGAGAGCACUCUACUCGAAUAUAACAGCACGUAUGAGGACUACCUGGAAAUGUACAUUCAAUUCGGUUACGUUGUUCUGUUCGCUUCGGUGGCACCAUUGGCUGCUCUAACUGCACUAGUAAAUAAUAUCAUCGAAAUUCGGUUGGACGCAUUCAAAUUAUGCAAAAUGUACAAACGACCAUUGGCAAAACGAGCUAAGAAUACCGGAGCCUGGCUGCUGGCAUUCGAAACAUUACUAGUCAUGUCAAUUAUCACCAACUGUGGCUUGUUAUAUCUGCAGCCGGAAGUGAGCUAUCUGGCCCCGAAUUCACUGCCACAAGAUGUCCUAAUGGCCUUUGUCGUCGGUGAACAUAUUUUGCUUGGUGUUGCCUGGGCUAUAAACAAAGCGAUUCCCGAUCGACCAUGGUGGGUUCGUGUUGCAUUGGCCAAAGCUGAUUACGAAUCGCGCCAAGCAAUGAAGAGAGAGGUUAAAAUUUACAAUUAAAUUUCGUUUUGUGUGAGAGAUGUGCUACAUACAGAUAUAGGGAGAGAGAGAGAGAGAGAGAGUUGUUGCUUGAAAUUUGGAUUGGCUUUCCGUUGUAGAACUAAAAUAAGAGAACGGUCGUUUAAAAAGCGAACCAUUACAUUUUAUCAUUGAUGGAUGCAGUUGCCUGCCUGUGCUCUCUCACCGCAACAUGCUAAUUUUAACGAUAGUGCACAGCUCACCAGACAAAUAUUGUAUCGCCGUUUUUACAGUGUCCACGGAAGUCAUCAUCGCCAUAAAAAUUGUUAAAAUUCAAAAAUGUUCAGUUCGACUUUCGACUUUCGUUUAUUUCAAGCUAGGAACGCAAACAUGACCGAACCG